AGCGAACGCUGGCGGCAGGCCUAACACAUGCAAGUCGAACGGACCCUUCGGGGUUAGUGGCGGACGGGUGAGUAACACGUGGGAACGUGCCUUUAGGUUCGGAAUAGCUCCUGGAAACGGGUGGUAAUGCCGAAUGUGCCCUUCGGGGGAAAGAUUUAUCGCCUUUAGAGCGGCCCGCGUCUGAUUAGCUAGUUGGUGAGGUAAUGGCUCACCAAGGCGACGAUCAGUAGCUGGUCUGAGAGGAUGACCAGCUACAUUGGGACUGAGACACGGCCCAGACUCCUACGGGAGGCAGCAGUGGGGAAUCUUGCGCAAUGGGCGAAAGCCUGACGCAGCCAUGCCGCGUGGAUGAUGAAGGUCUUAGGAUUGUAAAAUCCUUUCACCGGUGAAGAUAAUGACUGUAGCCGGAGAAGAAGCCCCGGCUAACUUCGUGCCAGCCGCCGCUGUAAAAC
rnacentral:rRNA from 1 species